AUCGCUUCUCGGCCUUUUGGCUAAGAUCAAGUGUAGGAUCUGUUCAAAGAAAACUGGGCAAAACUAAUUCGCCACUAGAUGGAGCCCUGACUCUUU
rnacentral:snRNA from 1 species